rnacentral:rRNA from 1 species
CACGUAGGGUCCGAGCGUUGUCCGGAAUUACUGGGCGUAAAGCGCGCGCAGGCGGUUAGUCGCAUCGGCGGUGAAAGCCCCCCGCUUAACGGGGGAGGGUCCGUUGAGAUGGACUGACUGGAGGCAGGGAGAGGGCGGUGGAAUUCCGGGUGUAGUGGUGAAAUGCGCAGAUAUCGGGAAGAACACCCGUGGCGAAGGCGGUUCUCUGGGACGGUACUGACGCUGAGACGCGAAAGCGUGGGGAGCGAACAGG